UGGCGGUCACGGGUAACGGAGAAUUAGGGUUCGAUUCCGGAGAGGGAGCCUGAGAAACGGCUACCACAUCUACGGAAGGCAGCAGGCGCGUAAAUUACCCAAUCCCAAUUCGGGGAGGUAGUGACGAGAAAUAACAACUCGGGCGGCGCAAGCCGUUGCGAGAUUGCAAUGGGUACAAUUUAAAACACUUAACGAGUAACAAUUGGAGGGCAAGUCUGGUGCCAGCAGCCGCGGUAAUUCCAGCUCCAAUAGCGUAUAUUAAAGUUGUUGCAGUUAAAAAGCUCGUAGUCGAAGUUCUGGCUGGCCCUGUUUCCGGCUCCGGUCGACUCAGGGCCUAGUCAUCCGUCGGAGAACCCUUGUCGUCCUUCACUGGUCGCUUGGGGGAACUGACCCUUUACUUUGAAAAAAUUAGAGUGUUUCAGGCAGGCUCUCGCCCGAAUACUCCAGCAUGGAAUAAUGGAAUAGGACUUUCUUCUAUUUUGUUGGUUAUUAGUGGAAAGUAAUGAUUAAUAGGGACUGUUGGGGGCAUUCGUACUUAAUUGUCAGAGGUGAAAUUCUUGGAUUUAUUAGAGACGAACUAAUGCGAAAGCAUUUGCCA
rnacentral:rRNA from 1 species